UGGCAGGAGUGAGCCACUGUGCCCGGCCUCUCUCUCCUCCUCUUUACUUGUCCUCAUGGUAGGUUGUCACUCAGGCAAGAAUGCAGGUGUUCAUUCCGGUGGGCUCGCUUUAUUCUUCCAGACUGCAUCAGGAUCUGUGUGCUCCUUCUUGGGGCUCCCAGCCAGCCCCUGCAUGGGGUGCCAGGGUGGGCUAGGAUUAGGGUUAGGGUUGCAAUUAGUGUCAUGAUCAGGGUUAGGGUGUACUUUGUUGGGUGGGGGGAAACAGGCAGGUCCACAUUGCAUUCUUCAGUCCAGCUCACCUUGAAAACCUGGUGUUUUUUGACCUUGUGUCUAUUUGUCAAGUGGCUCAGAUCUCAGGGAGCAAAACCAUGUGAUUGAUUAGCCAAAACCCCCCCGUACCACUCAUCAUCAGUGCUUGACAACCUCCACCAUGAGAACUGACCUCCUGGUCUCGCCACACUGCACCAGCCAGGUCCCCAGAGGAAGCCUCUGUGUGGUCCGUUUCCAAGGGCCCCCUCAUUUCUGCUCCAGGAUGAUGGGCAGUGGGGGUACCCACUGUUUUGCCACUGUAGCACCAUAGAGAGUGAGGAAAAUCAAGGACCGUGACAGUCGACAUUUCCCAAGGUCUUUGUUGUUUACUCACAUUCCAGUUGAAUGAAUGAACGAACUGAUUUUUAGUCAGCUGGUUGUGCUACCAUUGUAGAGAAGGGAGUACUUUACUUACGCUGCCUGAUGUAUCCUCACAGUAGCCCUAUGAGUAGGCACCAUUCUUCCCCUAUUAGAAGGGAGGAAAUGAAGUCUCUGAGAGGUGACAUGCCUGGGUGAGUGGCAGAGUCUUGGCCUGAGUCUCUCUGAUACCAGAGUUCCUGCUCCCUGAACUCCUGCAGAGUGGCUGAGGAGGGAGGCUGAGCUAGCUGACUUGAGGCUGACAUGCUCUGAGAGUCAAGUUUGCAGGUGGGACAUCAUAAGUCUGUGGAUGCAUAUGAGGUCACAGUAGGCUGACCCACUGUGACAACAGAAAUAUAUAGAUAUAUUUAUAUUUAUUUUUCCCUGGUUUCUGGCACAGAGCUUCUAACAUUCUUCUCAUUUCCUGAGCGAUAGCGGUGCUAGGAGCAUUUUUUUUGUUCUAAUAUUUUGUCUUUGACCCCAGUUCCUGACACAGAGUUCCUAAGUCCCUUGGAAUUUCCUAGGUGAUAAGAACGUCUUUUGUCCUAAUCUGAGGUGGCUCUCUGUAAGCCCCUGAACAAUGUCAGGGUGGGGGCUGAUUGCCAGGAAGACCAAACCAUGAUUAGAAGCUUAGGUCUUUCAGCCCCACUCCCCAUGCUCCAGAGAGACGAGAGGAGAUGGAGACUGAGUUAGUAAUCCGUCAAGCCCACGUGAUGAAGCAGCCAUAAAAAUCCCUAAAAGGCAAAAUGGGAGAACUUCUGGGUCAGUGAACGUGUCAUGUGUUGGAAAGGUGGCACGACCGAAGUCCAUGGGGACAGAAGCUCCCGUGCUCACGCCCUCUGGAGCUUGCCCUACAUGCAAGAUCUUCAUCUGGCUGUUCAUGUGUUUAUUCUAUCAAGUCCUUUGUCAUAAACUGGUAAAUGUGAGUAAGUCUUUCCCUGAGUUCUGUGAGCUAUCAUAUUGUUGAACCUGAGGAGGGGGUUGUGAGAACCCCAGAUUUGUUGCCAAGUUGGAUGGAACUAGGCUCUCCAGGCAUCAGCUUCACAGAGAGAAUCUUGAUGCCCAACAAGGACAGCAUUUUCAGAGAUGUACCCUUACAAGGGGUCCCCAUACAAGAUUGAAAUGAUAAAGAACUGAAGAUCCAAAGCCAGAGAAUGAUAAAGUAACUUCAACCUGACACAGUAAAACAUUGCAGGGAGAGUCCGGGAUCUGGAAUGAGAAUGCCACGUCCAGGCUGUGUUACCUUACAAAAAUUAUUAAUGCUUCAGUGGCCUCAUCUGCAGAAUGGAAAUACCAAUAAUAGUAGCUAUCUGAUAAGGUUAUUGUGGGGAUAGUAGGAGACAAUCCAUAAUAAUGUUUGAGUAGUAGCUGGCACAUUGUAGAUACUCAACAUACGCCAGCUAUUAUUGUUAUAGAAAAUAUGCAGAUCUGGAAUAGCUUGGAAAAUGUUUAUGAUACAAUAACAAAUUCAAAAGAAGUCUACUAAAUACUGUGUAUUUUAUGAUUGCAAUUUUGUAAAAACUAUAUCUGCUUAUGGAAAAAGAUUUGAAGAAAAUAUGCUUAUGUGAAAAGAAUUUCUUACA